rnacentral:lncRNA from 1 species
GUUACUGCCAAGGGUUGCCUGCAGGCCAGCUUCGACCUGCCCUCAGCAGUCCCUCGGCUUUCCUCCUGUGUUCUGGGUGCCCAAAGUCCAGAGGGGACCCAGGGGGCUGGUGUGUCAGAGCUGUCCCAAGUGUGCACACAUCCAACUGGGCUAUGACAGCACCCGGGCUUGGUGUCAACCAUGAUCCGAGAUUGGAGUGUGUUCCGCGAGCGGGUAGUGGCCAGAUAGUGGGAGCAGACACCUCUGAGCCUGUGGGAACAAGCGGAGGCGCAGCGGCCCUGGCCAACUUUGUACAAAGGAACCCGACACAGUGGAGGCUCUGGACCUGGAAGUGGGUCCUGCCCGGCCAUGCAAAGACUCAAACUGAAGCAUUGCUCUUCCUGGAUCUCCAGCCUGCCAGCCUUUUGACUAGAGCUAAACCAUCAGCUCUACUGGGUCUCCAGUUUUCCAGGUCACCCUACAUAUCCUGGAAUAUGCCUGCAUACCUGCCUCUAAAAUAAUGUCAUAUAUGUAUGUGUUCAAAGGCAGUCAGACAGGAAGAAUUCCUCUUUACUUCCAGGAGAGUCACCCUUUUGGUUCUAUUCAGGCCUUCAACUGAUUGCGUGAGUCCCAUUCACAUUAGGGAAGGCAAUCUGCUGUACUCAAUCUGCCAAUUUAAAUUUUAAUCUCAUCUGAAAACACCCUCACAGACACACACACACACACACAGACACACACACACACACACAAAGUAAUUUUUCAUCAGACAUCUGGGUUUCCUGUGGCCCCAUCAAUUGGACACAUAAAAUUGGCAUCACAAAGAGCUACUUAUUAUUUAUUUUUUCCACUAUUUCCACUGAACUUUGUAAGUAAAACCAUAGCCUUGCUUUUAAUAAUGUUUUUUCAUUUUACAUCAACUUUAUUUAUUUUACAAUUUAUAGAUUCCUUCAUAAUCGAUGUUCCAUUUAUUUCUUAAGAUCUGUUAAUUUAAUAACAUAUAACAUGUUUACUAUUGUAUAGAUAGAAUUUGAACUAAUUGCAGCAUAAAUUGCAUAAUAUCUUAGAUGAAAUCGCAUUGCUUCUAGUAAAAUAACUUUAAAGAUUGCCAAUCAGAGGUUCUUAAUUGAUUAAGUAUAAUAGUUUCUGGUAAAUAUUUUGUAAGUAAUUUGUGGACCCACAAACAAAAAUCAAUAAUUUAACAGCUAGCUGGAGCUUAAACUAGUUUACCUAAUGUUAAUUUGUAUAGAAAGAGGUAUGCUUUUGACUAGGAAAAACAUGUUAGUAUAACAGCCUUGUAUCUCAAAGCCAACUCCUCCACCAUCACUACCCCCAUCUACACACACACACACAAAAUCUAGGAGGGAGAAAUUUGGGCAAAUAUUUUUUCAUUUUAUAUUGUAAGAUGUGUAUUACGUAACAUAUUUUUAUAUGUUAUCAUUCAUGGGUUUUACAGAAAAAUGCUGUGUCAUUUUGUUUUUCCAGUAAAAGUCAUUAUUCAACAAUACGUUUGUCCUGAAACAUGUAGCAUCUUAUGCUACAAAUAGAGUGAAA